GGACGAACGCUGGCGGCGUGCUUAACACAUGCAAGUCGAACGAUGAAGCCUUUCGGGGUGGAUUAGUGGCGAACGGGUGAGUAACACGUGGGCAAUCUGCCCUUCACUCUGGGACAAGCCCUGGAAACGGGGUCUAAUACCGGAUAACACUCUGUCCCGCAUGGGACGGGGUUAAAAGCUCCGGCGGUGAAGGAUGAGCCCGCGGCCUAUCAGCUUGUUGGUGGGGUGAUGGCCUACCAAGGCGACGACGGGUAGCCGGCCUGAGAGGGCGACCGGCCACACUGGGACUGAGACACGGCCCAGACUCCUACGGGAGGCAGCAGUGGGGAAUAUUGCACAAUGGGCGAAAGCCUGAUGCAGCGACGCCGCGUGAGGGAUGACGGCCUUCGGGUUGUAAACCUCUUUCAGCAGGGAAGAAGCGAGAGUGACGGUACCUGCAGAAGAA
rnacentral:rRNA from 1 species